GCCUAUCACCAUUCCAGAUUGAAUAUACCCGAAUUCGUCUGAUCUCGGAAGUCAAGCAAUCUCGGGC
rnacentral:rRNA from 1 species